rnacentral:rRNA from 1 species
AUACGUAGGGGACGAGCGUUGUCCGGAAUUACUGGGCGUAAAGGGCGCGCAGGCGGAUAUUUAAGUCAGCUGUAAAAGGCAUGAGCUCAACUCAUGUAUGCGGUUGAAACUGGGUAUCUAGAGUGCUGGAGAGGUAGGCGGGAUUCCCGGUGUAGCGGUGAAAUGCGUAGAUAUCGGGAAGAACACCAGUGGCGAAGGCGGCUUACUGGCCAGCAACUGACGCUGAGGCGCGAAAGCCAGGGGAGCGAACGGGAUUAGAUACCCCGGUAGUCCUGGCCGUAAACGAUGAAUGCUAGGUGUGGGUGUCGAGAGGCAUCCGUGCCGGAGUUAACGCGAUAAGCAUUCCGCCUGGGGAGUACGAUCGCAAGAUUGAAACUCAAAGGAAUUGACGGGG